CCUACGGGCGGCAGCAGUGAGGAAUAUUGGUCAAUGGUCGGGAGACUGAACCAGCCAAGCCGCGUGAGGGAGGAAGGUACAGAGUAUCGUAAACCUCUUUUGUCAGGGAACAAAGGCGGGGACGUGUCCCCGGAUGAGUGUACCUGAAGAAAAAGCAUCGGCUAACUCCGUGCCAGCAGCCGCGGUAAUACGGAGGAUGCGAGCGUUAUCCGGAUUUAUUGGGUUUAAAGGGAGCGUAGACGGCCGUGCAAGCCAGGAGUGAAAGCCCGGGGCCCAACCCCGGGACUGCUCUUGGAACUGUGCGGCUGGAGUGCGGGAGGGGCAGGCGGAAUUCCUGGUGUAGCGGUGAAAUGCGUAGAUAUCAGGAGGAACACCGGCGGCGAAGGCGGCCUGCUGGACCGCGACUGACGUUGAGGCUCGAAAGCGUGGGGAGCGAACAGGAUUAGAUACCCGAGUAGU
rnacentral:rRNA from 1 species